GUCUUGAUAGUAUAAACAUUACUCUG
rnacentral:piRNA from 1 species